rnacentral:rRNA from 1 species
GACGAACGCUGGCGGCGUGCUUAACACAUGCAAGUCGAACGAGUGGCGGACGGGUGAGUAAUGCUUGGGAAUCUGGCUUAUGGAGGGGGAUAACUACGGGAAACUGUAGCUAAUACCGCGUACCAUAGGAUGAGCCCAAGUGGGAUUAGGUAGUUGGUGAGGUAAAGGCUCACCAAGCCGACGAUCUCUAGCUGGUCUGAGAGGAUGACGAGCCACAAUGUGACUGAGCCAGGGACCAGACUCCUACGGGAGGCAGUAGUGAGGAAUAUGGCGCAAUGGGGGAAAUCUGACGAAGCCAUGCAGAGUGAAUGAAGAAUGCCUUCGUGUUGUAAAUUUCUUUCGGUAGCGAGGCGUUAACUUCAGAAGAAGCACCGGCUAACUCCGUUCCAGCAGCCGCGGUAAUUC